rnacentral:rRNA from 1 species
UACGGGGGGAGCAAGCGUUGUUCGGAUUUACUGGGCGUAAAGGGCGCGUAGGCGGCUCGGCACGUCCGUUGUGAAAUCGCCCGGCUCAACUGGGCGGGGUCAGCGGAUACGGUCGAGCUUGAGCAAGCUAGGGGGCAAUGGAAUUCCCGGUGUAGUGGUGGAAUGCGUAGAGAUCGGGAGGAACACCAGUGGCGAAGGCGGCCCCCUGGGCCGUUCCUGACGCUGAGACGCGAAGGCGCGGGGAGCGAACGGG